rnacentral:rRNA from 1 species
UACGUAGGGCGCAAGCGUUAUCCGGAAUUAUUGGGCGUAAAGAGCUCGUAGGCGGUGUGUCACGUCGGCCGUGAAAACCUGCAGCUUAACUGUGGGCGUGCGGUCGAUACGGGCAUCACUGGAGUUCGGCAGGGGAGACUGGAAUUCCUGGUGUAGCGGUGAAAUGCGCAGAUAUCAGGAGGAACACCGGUGGCGAAGGCAGCCCCCUGGGCUAACACUGACGCUCAGGCACGAAAGCGUGGGGAGCAAACAGG